GUGUACAGACAGUAGCCCAGAUAGUAC
rnacentral:piRNA from 1 species